rnacentral:rRNA from 1 species
UACGCAGGGUGCAAGCGUUGUCCGGAAUUAUUGGGCGUAAAGAGCUCGUAGGCGGUUUGUCGCGUCUGCUGUGAAAACUCGGGGCUUAACUCCGGGCCUGCAGUGGGUACGGGCAGACUAGAGUGCGGUAGGGGAGACUGGAAUUCCUGGUGUAGCGGUGAAAUGCGCAGAUAUCAGGAGGAACACCGGUGGCGAAGGCGGGUCUCUGGGCCGUAACUGACGCUGAGGAGCGAAAGCGUGGGGAGCAAACGGG